CACGUAGGGCGCAAGCGUUGUCCGGAAUUAUUGGGCGUAAAGAGCUCGUAGGCGGUCUGCCACGUCCGCUGUGAAAACCUAGGGCUUAACCCUGGGCUUGCAGUAGAUACGGGCAGACUAGAGGUAGGUAGGGGAGAAUGGAAUUCCCGGUGUAGCGGUGAAAUGCGCAGAUAUCGGGAGGAACACCGGUGGCGAAGGCGGUUCUCUGGGCCUGUCCUGACGCUGAGGCGCGAAAGCUAGGGGAGCGAACAGG
rnacentral:rRNA from 1 species